CGGCGCGGGGGCUGCUGCCCCCCGAGAGCCCCCUGGGGCUGCGGCACCGGCGGCGCGAGGCCCUGCGGGACGCGGACCUGGUGCUGCUCGCAGGCGCGGUGUGCGAUUUCCGCCUGUCCUACGGGCGCCUCUUCGGCCGCGGCGCCGCCGUGGUGGCCGUGAAUCGGCACAGGGAGCAGCUGCUGCGGAACGCCGGGGUCUUCUGGAGCCCCAAACUGGCUGUGCAGGGUGACCCCGCCUCGUUCGUGCUGGCCCUGGCUCGGAAGCUCCAGGGAUUUUCCUGCCCUCGGGAAUGGCUGGAAAAGCUCCGAGAGAGGGAGA